rnacentral:rRNA from 1 species
AGAGCGAACGCUGGCGGCAGGCUUAACACAUGCAAGUCGAGCGGGCGUAGCAAUACGUCAGCGGCAGACGGGUGAGUAACGCGUGGGAACGUACCUUUUGGUUCGGAACAACCCAGGGAAACUUGGGCUAAUACCGGAUAAGCCCUUACGGGGAAAGAUUUAUCGCCGAAAGAUCGGCCCGCGUCUGAUUAGCUAGUUGGUGAGGUAAUGGCUCACCAAGGCGACGAUCAGUAGCUGGUCUGAGAGGAUGAUCAGCCACAUUGGGACUGAGACACGGCCCAAACUCCUACGGGAGGCAGCAGUGGGGAAUAUUGGACAAUGGGCGCAAGCCUGAUCCAGCCAUGCCGCGUGAGUGAUGACGGCCUUAGGGUUGUAAAGCUCUUUCGCUAGGGACGAUAAUGACGGUACCUAGACAAGAAGCCCGGCUAACUUCGCGCCAGCAGCCGC